AGCGAACGCUGGCGGCAGGCCUAACACAUGCAAGUCGAACGAAGUCUUCGGACUUAGUGGCGGACGGGUGAGUAACACGUGGGAACGUGCCUUUAGGUUCGGAAUAACUCAGGGAAACUUGUGCUAAUACCGAAUGUGCCCUUCGGGGGAAAGAUUGAUCGCCUUUAGAGCGGCCCGCGUCUGAUUAGCUAGUUGGUGAGGUAAAGGCUCACCAAGGCGACGAUCAGUAGCUGGUCUGAGAGGAUGAUCAGCCACAUUGGGACUGAGACACGGCCCAAACUCCUACGGGAGGCAGCAGUGGGGAAUCUUGCGCAAUGGGCGAAAGCCUGACGCAGCCAUGCCGCGUGAAUGAUGAAGGUCUUAGGAUUGUAAAAUUCUUUCACCGGGGACGAUAAUGACGGUACCCGGAGAAGAAGCCCCGGCUAACUACGUGCCAGCCGCCGCAGUAAGAC
rnacentral:rRNA from 1 species